rnacentral:rRNA from 1 species
AACGAACGCUGGCGGCAUGCCUAACACAUGCAAGUCGAACGAGACCUUCGGGUCUAGUGGCGCACGGGUGCGUAACGCGUGGGAACCUGCCUUUAGGUUCGGAAUAACUCAGAGAAAUUUGAGCUAAUACCGGAUAAUGUCUUCGGACCAAAGAUUUAUCGCCUUUAGAUGGGCCCGCGUUGGAUUAGCUAGUUGGUGGGGUAAAGGCCUACCAAGGCGACGAUCCAUAGCUGGUCUGAGAGGAUGAUCAGCCACACUGGGACUGAGACACGGCCCAGACUCCCUACGGGAGGCAGCAGUGGGGAAUAUUGGACAAUGGGCGGAAAGCCUGAUCCAGGCAAUGCCGCGUGAGU